UACGUAGGGUGCAAGCGUUAAUCGGAAUUACUGGGCGUAAAGCGUGCGCAGGCGGCUUUGCAAGACAGAUGUGAAAUCCCCGGGCUCAACCUGGGAACUGCAUUUGUGACUGCAAGGCUAGAGUACGGCAGAGGGGGAUGGAAUUCCGCGUGUAGCAGUGAAAUGCGUAGAUAUGCGGAGGAACACCAAUGGCGAAGGCAAUCCCCUGGGCCUGUUCUGACGCUCAUGCACGAAAGCGUGGGGAGCAAACAGG
rnacentral:rRNA from 1 species